GUAGGUUUUAGAUUGGUGGUUGAGUGCAUGCUUUGUGUGUAUGAUGUCCUGGGUUCAAUCCCCAGCUUUUCCA